GGAGUCUUAGGGAAAGCUGCUAACUAUCCCAAAGCAAGUCAUUGUUAGACACCC
rnacentral:tRNA from 1 species